AUUACCGAGUUUUCAACUCCCUAACCCUUCUGUGAACCUACCUAUCGUUGCUUCGGCGGACUCGCCCCAGCCCGGACGCGGACUGGACCAGCGGCCCGCCGGGGACCUCAAACUCUUGUAUUCCAGCAUCUUCUGAAUACGCCGCAAGGCAAAACAAAUGAAUCAAAACUUUCAACAACGGAUCUCUUGGCUCUGGCAUCGAUGAAGAACGCAGCGAAACGCGAUAAGUAAUGUGAAUUGCAGAAUCCAGUGAAUCAUCGAAUCUUUGAACGCACAUUGCGCCCGCCAGCAUUCUGGCGGGCAUGCCUGUUCGAGCGUCAUUUCAACCCUCGACCUCCCCUUGGGGAGGUCGGCGUUGGGGACCGGCAGCACACCGCCGGCCCUGAAAUGGAGUGGCGGCCCGUCCGCGGCGACCUCUGCGCAGUAAUACAGCUCGCACCGGGACCCCGACGCGGCCACGCCGUAAAACACCCAACUUCUGAACGUUGACCUCGAAUCAGGUAGGACUACCCGCUGAACUUAAGCAUAUCAAUAAGCGGAGGAAAAGAAACCAACAGGGAUUGCCCCAGUAACGGCGAGUGAAGCGGCAACAGCUCAAAUUUGAAAUCUGGCUCUCAGGGCCCGAGUUGUAAUUUGUAGAGGAUGCUUUUGGCGAGGUGCCUUCCGAGUUCCCUGGAACGGGACGCCACAGAGGGUGAGAGCCCCGUAUGGUCGGACACCGAGCCUCUGUAAAGCUCCUUCGACGAGUCGAGUAGUUUGGGAAUGCUGCUCAAAAUGGGAGGUAUAUGUCUUCUAAAGCUAAAUAUUGGCCAGAGACCGAUAGCGCACAAGUAGAGUGAUCGAAAGAUGAAAAGCACUUUGAAAAGAGGGUUAAAAAGUACGUGAAAUUGUUGAAAGGGAAGCGCCUAUGACCAGACUUGCGCCCGGUGAAUCACCCAGCGUUCUCGCUGGUGCACUUUGCCGGGCACAGGCCAGCAUCAGUUCAGCGCGGGGGAGAAAGGCUUCGGGAAUGUGGCUCCCUCGGGAGUGUUAUAGCCCGCUGCGUAAUGCCCUGCGCCGGACUGAGGUACGCGCAUUGCAAGGAUGCU
rnacentral:rRNA from 1 species